ensembl:lncRNA LINC02240 long intergenic non-protein coding RNA 2240
ACAUGGCGGCGGCUUCUCUCGCAGCGGCCUCAGGGGCAAUUUAAAAGGUCCGCGCUGCGUUUAUGAGCUGUAACACGCACCACCGAGAAGGUCUGCAGCUUCACUGCAGAAGCCAGUGAGACCACAAACCUACCGAAAGUAAGAAACUCUGGACACAUGUGAACAUCUGAGGGAACAAACUCCGGACACACCAUCUUUCAGAACUGUAACACUCACCGCGAGCGUCGGCGGCUUGGUUCUUGAAGUCAGCGAGACCAAGAACCCACCAAUUCCGAACACUCUAUGGGACCAUCUAGUUGCAGGAAAACAAGCUCAGGGUUCCCACUGAUUCUACACUAUGCCCUCUGAUGAAGUACCUCAAAAGCUAAGCUCCCAUCAAUCCUGGAGAGAUAGAAUCAGCAGAGCAUAGUGGCAGAAUGAAUGGUUUAAAAGGAACAGCAGCGACCAAAGAACUUUUUAUGCAGAGAAACCCCAAAUCUGGGGCAAAGCCCUCCUGUUCAUUUUAUCUCACACAAGGGCAUUGUUGAUCCAGAUGAAUGUAUUCACUUUGAAACGAGACCAUAGUCGCCGCUAGAGACAAAACUACAUACACUGACCCAGAUACGGUUCUUCCCCAGACCAAGUGACCCCAGCUGCAGCCGGAGUGCUCACAGUAAACUGAAAUUACAUGAAUGACACCCAGGGAAAGACGCUUGUAUUAUAAAGAGGCUACAUUUCUAUUUGGUUUACUGAUGUAUUAAUUUUUCAAAGUUUGGAAUCUCUUCAAAUACAAGGUAAAUGCAUUUUCUAAGAAUUUGGCCCAGUGGCACUCGUCUGGAUGUGAUAACCUGUUUUUCCUGUAUCAUGAUUUAACUUAAAC